rnacentral:rRNA from 1 species
UACGUAGGGUGCAGGCGUUAAUCGGAAUUACUGGGCGUAAAGCGUGCGCAGGCGGUCUUUUAAGUCAGAUGUGAAAUCCCCGGGCUUAACCUGGGAACUGCGUUUGAAACUGAAAGGCUUGAGUGUGGCAGAGGGGGGUGGAAUUCCACGUGUAGCAGUGAAAUGCGUAGAGAUGUGGAGGAACACCGAUGGCGAAGGCAGCCCCCUGGGCUAACACUGACGCUCAUGCACGAAAGCGUGGGGAGCAAACAGG